rnacentral:rRNA from 1 species
GACGGAGGAUGCAAGCGUUAUCCGGAAUUAUUGGGCGUAAAGCGUCCGCAGGCGGCUGUUCAAGUCUGCUGUCAAAGCGCAGAGCUUAACUCUGUACAGGCGGUGGAAACUGAAGAGCUAGAGUAUGGUAGGGGUAGAGGGAAUUCCCGGUGUAGCGGUGAAAUGCGUAGAUAUCGGGAAGAACACCAGUGGCGAAAGCGCUCUACUGGGCCAUAACUGACACUGAGGGACGAAAGCUAGGGGAGCAAAAGGG